UAGGUAUCGAGUGCAGCGUGCGGGGAAUUUCUUUUGCUCUUGCUACUCGGACUAGCAACCAAUGAAAUAGAAUAUUUACCCUUCUUAUGGGUUUAUAUUUAUAAAUAUUGAUAAUUUUACCGUUGAAGAUUCCAUUUAUUUGGUUGCGAGUCCUGGUAGCAGGAACGGUAGCAGCUAAAUUUCGUCCCGCUAUGUGGUGAGUGAACUCAAAAAAAUCUAGGGUUUCAGUGCGUUCCUUCUGUUCGGUUGGCGUGGUCCGGCAUUGUCCCGCGAAAAUUAGGGUUAGUUAGAUGUAAUUCGAAACUAAAGUUCUGCAGAACUGAGAUCUUACUUGGGAUUGAUUACGAUCUUUCUUUCAACACUUUCGAAUGACUUCAAUUCAGUUCGGCUAGGCAGUAGAAACGGAGAACUUCUACUCGCUGUAUGUCGUUAAUCGAAAUGGAUAUUUAAGUUCAUUUAAUUUUGUAAAGGUGAAGCUUUGGGUUUUCAGAAAGAUAAUAAUGGUUUUCAGUUUGAAACGGAUCAUAGAGUCGGAGAAGAAAAAGAAGAAGGUGUUUUUUUUAAUCCUAAACGGGAAUUGUUUCAGUGAAAGGAGAAUGGAAGAUGAUAACAGUAGCAACGGAUCAGUGUCCGGAAGGCGAGGAAUGCCAUUCGAACUUCGAUUUCUGACAAGCUUGGGCGGUCUAUUGGGAGGCUAGGGUUCAGAAGACAAAGGAAAUCGAUAAGGGAUCAAGCAUUAGUGUGCAAUCUGCUAUCACUUUGAGGUGUUUUGAUUCAGUAUCGGACUGAUAUGGCCAAUCCGAAUUGGUAUCGGUAUCGAUUUUGGUUUUGUUUGCACCAAACCUUGAACCGAAUCCCUUGGCGGUGAGCAAGUUAAUGGAGAUACACAACAACCAAUUUCUCUGUAGUGGGUGGUUAAUUGUGGUAGAAGUAAGGCCAAGCUUGCUUUUUGGAGAAACGGAAAGGUUUAUUCUGGACAAUGUCUCCGAGAUGACAAUUAACAUCUAUCAUUCCCCCACUGUGGAUCUGCUGAAAAAACACACACAUUUGACCAAGGCAUCAAGAUCAUGGUGCUGUCAAGAACCAUUGGAGAUGUUGUACUUGUCCAGGAUGGAAGUACAAUGCAGAAAAAAUUUAAAUUGAUUGGAAUGGACAUAUUGGUAUUGUAUCCUUCCUUUCUGCUUGAUCUAUGAUUCAGUUUUCCUUGUCAAGCACUUAACCUGAUACAAGUUUGAGUUUAUUUACCUCCCAUUACAUUGAUUUGCCUCUCCCCUUCAAUAACAUGAGAAAUUAAAGAGUACAAUAAUUAAAAAAAAAAAAAAAAUCAUUAAAAGAUGCUGUAUACUAGGUAGCACCCCACCUUAUCCUCAAAAUCCCAGCACCUUACUUCUAUCCAUGUAGACUAGCCUGAAUGUGCAUAAUGUGUGAGCUGCUAUGUUAUUACUAACUCUCUGGAAUGAUCUACCUGACAGCUGGUUUCAGAUUUUCUUUGACUGACAUUUUAAAUAUAUGAGAUACCUAACUAGGGAAUACGGAGGUAGAAUGAAAAAGAUAAAUAGAGGGAAGAAAAAGGAAAUCAGUGAAACUCAAACCCAUGGAUUUUUCGGCUGACUUAUUGCUACCCUUCCCUCCCCAACCCAUCUCUCCGCAAGACGAAGAAAAAAAAACUGUAAAUUCUUGUCGAGUUGGCUAGAAAUCAUCUAACCAUGCUGUUGCUAUAUAGGUGAAUAAUAAUUGUUCUUCACUAAAAUGUCCUUUUACUUUGUGUCAUUGCCUGUGGAGCAUGUUGUUUGCAGUCUCUAUUCUCAGGAUGCCUAAUAUUUGUCACUUGUUAAGUAGGAUACAUUGUCAUAACACCUAAUAGACACAAUUGGAAAGGUCAGUCCAAGCUCUCUUCACCAAUAUGUCUACUUACAUUUUGGAAUACAUACUCUGCAUAUUGCAGUCAUCUCGUUUUCUUCUCUUUCUAUAUGUGCAGGGUACACUUUCAAUGUUAAUUUAGGGGUUGUGGCAUCACUUGGGCUUCAUUCCUUUGGGAUUUCAAUUAUUCCAUCCAGUUUGGUAGGCAGAUUACUUCUCUUAUUCUUAUUACAGAACUGAUAAAAAGUAUACAUUGUAACCAUAAAAGUUGGUGCACAUUGUCAUUUGUUGAAGAACGUCGGGACCACACUCCAGUUUCAGCGCUUGGCUGUUUAAGUGAACAUUGCAUACAUGGUCUCCACUUUCUUCAACUAAGUGAUGCAUGCAAAUCCAAGUGCUUUGAAUCUGUUUUAGUUCCGCCAGGUGAUAUCUUUGACCGUAUGUGUGUGGACAAAAAGAACCGUUAUAAAGUAUUGAAGCAAUGGUUCACUAUCCUUUUCAGGUAAGCACAUUUGCUUUGAUUGUUGAGGAUGUGCUUAGAGUUACAUCUGAUACUGUCGUAUUGCAUGAAGCCACAGCAUCCCGGAUUCAAAGACACAAUGGUAUCUAUAUAAUUUGUAAUAUACCCAGUCAAUUGUCCUGGUUUAUCCCCAAAAAUAAUUGUGUAUAUAGAAUGUAUAUACAAGUCGUCUAUGCUAACCCCCUGGACUUUCCUACCUCAGGCUGACCUUGUUUGGGAUUUCCUAAACCUGAGGUCAACCAUGGGCUUCAAAUCCCAGCAGAGCCCUGCUAAAGGUCAGGUUGGGCCUUAUGGGGUUUUGGCUUGGCUCCGCCCUAGUUACACUACAAAAUGCAACCUUUGUUUUUUUCGCUUUACAUUCCACCAGUAAUUCAAUGUUUAUCUGUUUCACUGA